GACGAACGCUGGCGGCGUGCUUAACACAUGCAAGUCGAACGGUGAACGAGGGAGCUUGCUCCCUCCGGGUCAGUGGCGAACGGGUGAGUAACACGUGAGCAAUCUGCCCUGGACUCUGGGAUAAGCGUUGGAAACGACGUCUAAUACCGGAUACGAGGCGUGGGGGCAUCCCCAACGCCUGGAAAGAACUUCGGUCCAGGAUGAGCUCGCGGCCUAUCAGGUAGUUGGUGAGGUAAUGGCUCACCAAGCCUACGACGGGUAGCCGGCCUGAGAGGGGGACCGGCCACACUGGGACUGAGACACGGCCCAGACUCCUACGGGAGGCAGCAGUGGGGAAUAUUGCACAAUGGGCGAAAGCCUGAUGCAGCAACGCCGCGUGAGGGACGACGGCCUUCGGGUUGUAAACCUCUUUUAGCAGGGAAGAAGCGAAAGUGACGGUACCUGCAGAAAAAGCACCGGCUAACUACGUGCCAGCCGCCGCGGUAA
rnacentral:rRNA from 1 species